rnacentral:rRNA from 1 species
UACGUAGGGGGCAAGCGUUGUCCGGAAUCAUUGGGCGUAAAGCGCGUGUAGGCGGCCCGGUAAGUCCGCUGUGAAAGUCCAGGGCUCAACCCUGGGAUGCCGGUGGAUACUGUCGGGCUCGAGUCCGGAAGAGGCGAGUGGAAUUCCUGGUGGUAGCGGUGAAAUGCGCAGAUAUCAGGAGGAACACCAAUGGCGAAGGCAGCUCGCUGGGACGUGACUGACGCUGAGACGCGAAAGCGUGGGGAGCAAACAG